GUUCACUUAGGCAGCACACAUACUAAAAUUGGAACGAUACAGAGAAGAUUAGCAUGGCCCUUGCACAAGGGUGACCCAUAAAUUUGUGACCCUUACAUGUCUUCC